UUUCCGUAGGUGAACCUGCGGAAGGAUCAUUAAAGAGACGUUGCCCUUCGGGGUAUACCUCCCACCCAUUGUUUAUUUACCUUUGUUGCUUUGGCAGUCCCGGCUUCGGCCCACCGGCUCCGGCUGGUCAGUGACUGUCGAAGAUACCAAAACUCUGUUUGUUAAUAUUGUCUGAGUACUAUAUAAUAGUUAAAACUUUCAACAACGGAUCUCUUGGUUCUG
rnacentral:misc_RNA from 1 species